GAGCCUACGGGGGGCAGCAGUGGGGAAUUUUGGACAAUGGGCGCAAGCCUGAUCCAGCCAUGCCGCGUGAGUGAAGAAGGCCUUCGGGUUGUAAAGCUCUUUCGGCUGGGAAGAAAUCGCACUCUCUAAUACAGGGUGUGGAUGACGGUACCAGCAUAAGAAGCACCGGCUAACUACGUGCCAGCAGCCGCGGUAAUACGUAGGGUGCGAGCGUUAUUCGGAAUUACUGGGCGUAAAGCGUGCGCAGGCGGUUUUGUAAGACAGACGUGAAAUCCCCGGGCUCAACCUGGGAACUGCGUUUGUGACUGCACGGGUAGAGUACGGCAGAGGGGGGUGGAAUUCCACGUGUAGCAGUGAAAUGCGUAGAGAUGUGGAGGAACACCGAUGGCGAAGGCAGCCCCCUGGGCCAGUACUGACGCUCAUGCACGAAAGCGUGGGGAGCAAACAGGAUUAGAUACCCGAGUAGUCG
rnacentral:rRNA from 1 species